GAUGCAUUCGUUUGCGCUCGCUUGACGAAUGGAAAUGUCGAUACCGGAAGGCUGAAAAGGCUGGGGUUAGGUGUCAACGAGGUACGACGAGUCCGAGUACUUGCACCGUUUCAGUUGCAAGGAGCAUAAAAAUAUUAUUAAAGAAAAUUUUUUUCCUCUCUCACACAAAACAGAUACAAAGUACAAAUUUUACAAUGUUAAUAUAAGCAAAGUCUGUUUGAGAGACUGGCGACUAUAUUAGGAGACUUGUAUUAGAGAUUUCCAGUCUCUCCACAUCCGGACCGUAUGUAAAUUAGGUACAAAAAUUUGAAUUUAGUAUUUAAAUGGUACGCGGAAAAGAGUAGUUCUGAAAAACUAUUACAAAUAUGUAACCAAUAUAAGUGAUUGUGUGUGUUAGUAUAUGUAUAUGAAGCAUGUGUGAUAGUGUAUGUAUAAGUGAG
rnacentral:misc_RNA from 1 species